rnacentral:rRNA from 1 species
UUUCUGGUCAAGUUAUAAAGAGCAUAGGGUGAAUGCCUUGGCACCAGGAGCCGAAGAAGGACGUGGUAAGCUGCGAUAAGCCUCGGGGAACUGCAAGCAAGUUUUGAUCCGGGGAUUUCCGAAUGGGGAAACCCACCUAGGGUAAUACUUAGGUACCCACUACUGAAUCCAUAGGUAGUGAGGAGGCAUACCAGGGGAACUGAAACAUCUAAGUACCCUGAGGAAAAGAAAGAAAACUCGAUUCCCUAAGUAGCGGCGAGCGAAAGGGGAUUAGCCCAAACCUAGAAAAUUUUUUCUAGGGGUUGCGGAUAUACUCAUAAGAGCGAAGAAUUUGUAGCCGAAGAGGUCUGGAAAGGCCCACCAUAGGAGGUAAUAGUCCUGUAGGCGAAACAAAGUCUAGCUUGAGUAUACUCCAGAGUACCACGAGACACGUGAAACCUUGUGGGAAGCAGGGGGGACCACCCCCCAAGGCUAAAUACUACCUGGUGACCGAUAGCGCAUAGUACCGUGAGGGAAAGGUGAAAAAAGAACCCCCGGGAGGGAGUGAAAUAGAACCUGAAACCCUAUGUUUACAAGCAGUGGAAGUUCUUUUUAUGAACGACCGCGUACUUUUUGUAGAACGGGCCAACGAGUUACGGUAUGCAGCAAGGUUAAGUAGUUAAGCUACGGAGCCGCAGCGAAAGCGAGUCUGAAUAGGGCGAUUUAGUUGUAUGCCGUAGACCCGAAACCGGGUGACCUAUCCAUGAGCAGGUUGAAGCGGAAGUAAAAAUUUCGUGGAGGACCGAACCCAUGUCUGUUGAAAAAAAGGCUGGGAUGACUUGUGGAUAGCGGAGAAAUUCCAAUCGAACUCGGAGAUAGCUGGUUCUCCCCAGAAAUAGCUUUUUAGGGCUAGCCUCAAAGUUAGUGAUACGGAGGUAGAGCACUGAAUGUCCUAGGGGCCCUCACCGGUUACCGAAGACUAUCAAACUCCGAAUGCCGUAAUCAUAUCUUUGGGGAGUCAGACUAUGUGUGAUAAGAUUCAUAGUCGAGAGGGAAACAGCCCAGACCGUCAGCUAAGGUCCCUAAGUACAGGUUAAGUGGAAAAAGGAUGUGGGAUUGCAUAGACAACUAGGAUGUUGGCUUAGAAGCAGCCACUCAUUUAAAGAGUGCGUAAUAGCUCACUAGUCGAGUGAUCCUGCGCCGAAAAUUACCGGGGCUCAAACCUGUCACCGAAGCUACGGCUUACUGAUAGUAUUUAUAUUAUUGGUAGGGGUAGGGGAGCAUUCUAUACGGGCUGAAGUCAUACCGAAAGGAAUGGUGGACUGUAUAGAAGAGAGAAUGUUGGCAUGAGUAGCGAGAGGUAGGUGAGAAUCCUACCCGCCGAAAACCUAAGGUUUCCUGAGGAAGGUUCGUCCGCUCAGGGUUAGUCGGGACCUAAGCCGAGGACGAAAGUCGUAGGCGAUGGACAACAGGUUGAAAUUCCUGUACCACCGAAAAAUCGUUUGAGCAAUGGGGGUGACACAGGAGGAUAGGCUAAGCGCACCGUUGGUUGUGUGCGUCUAAACCCGUAGGGAGUCUAUGUAGGCAAAUCCGCGUAGGCAAUCCUGAAAGGUGAUGGGGGAGCGAAAUAUAGUAGCGAACUUGCUGAUUCCACACUGUCGAGAAAAAAGCCUCUAGCGAGAUCUAGGUGCCCGUACCGCAAACCGACACAGGUAGGUGAGGAGAGAAUCCUAAGGCGAGCGAGAGAACUAUUGUUAAGGAACUCGGCAAAAUGACCCCGUAACUUAGGGAGAAGGGGUGCCACGGUAGGGUGUUAAAAGCCUGAGGUGGCCGCAGAGAAUAGGCCCAAGCGACUGUUUAGCAAAAAAACACAGGUCUCUGCUAAGUCGAAAGACGAUGUAUAGGGGCUGACGCCUGCCCGGUGCUGGAAGGUUAAGGGGACGUGUUAACGUAAGUGAAGCACUGAACUUAAGCCCCAGUAAACGGCGGCCGUAACUAUAACGGUCCUAAGGUAGCGAAAUUCCUUGUCGGGUAAGUUCCGACCCGCACGAAAAGGCGUAACGAUUUGGGCACUGUCUCAACAAUAGACUCGGUGAAAUUGUAGUACCGGUGAAGAUGCCGGUUACCCGCAGCAGGACGGAAAGACCCCGUGGAGCUUUUUACUGUAGCCUGACACUGGAUUUUGGUAUUACAUGUACAGCAUAGGUGGGAGACUUAGAAGCAUGUACGCUAGUAUGUGUGGAGUCGCCGUUGGGAUACCACUCUUGUAAUACUGAAGUUCUAACCAGAAGCUGUGAAUCCAGCUUUGGGACACUGUCAGGUGGGCAGUUUGACUGGGGGCGGUCGCCUCCUAAAAAGGUAACGGAGGCGCCCAAAGGUUCCCUCAGCGCGGUCGGAAAUCGCGCGUAGAGUGUAAAAGGCAGAAGGGAGCUUGAUUGCGAGACUUACAAGUCGAGCAAGGACGAAAAGUCGGGCUUAGUGAUCCGGUGGUUCCGAGUGGAAGGGCCAUCGCUCAACGGAUAAAAAGCUACCCCGGGGAUAACAGGCUUAUCUCCCCAAGAGUCCACAUCGACGGGGAGGUUUGGCACCUCGAUGUCGGCUCGUCUCAUCCUGGGGCUGAAGUAGGUCCCAAGGGGUUGGGCUGUUCGCCCAUUAAAGAGGCACGCGAGCUGGGUUCAGAACGUCGUGAGACAGUUCGGUCCCUAUCCGCUGUGGGCGCAGGAAAUUUGAGAGGAGCUGUCCUUAGUACGAGAGGACCGGGAUGGACGUACCUCUGGUGUAUCAGUUGUCGCGCCAGCGGCAUGGCUGAGUAGCUAUGUACGGACGGGAUAAGCGCUGAAGGCAUCUAAGCGCGAAGCCCCCCUCAAGAUUAGAUUUCCCAUGACGUAAGUCAGUAAGACCCCAGAAAGACCAUCUGGUUGAUAGGCCUAAGGUGUAAGGGCAGUAAUGUCUUAAGCUGAUAGGUACUAAUAGGUCGAGGACUUGACCAAAU